AAAUUAGGCUUGGUUUUCCAAAAAAUAACUAUAAUUUUUUUAUGGCUUUUUUAAAAAAAAACCGAAACAGAAAAUACAAUUUACUUAAUAAUAAAAAAUUAUUGAGAUUUAUAGUUAAAUUUAGCUAAUU
rnacentral:rRNA from 1 species